rnacentral:rRNA from 1 species
GUGCCAGCAGCCGCGGUAAUACGUAGGAUGCGAGCGUUGUCCGGAUUUACUGGGUGUAAAGGGAGCGCAGGCGGAUUGGUAAGUCGGUGGUGAAAUCCUCAGGCUCAACCUGGGAACUGCCACCGAAACUGCUAAUCUUGAGUGUGGAAGAGGUCGAUGGAAUUCCUGGUGUAGCAGUGAAAUGCGUAGAUAUCAGGAAGAACACCGAUGGCGAAGGCAGUCGACUGGUCCAUUACUGACGCUCAUGCUCGAAAGCGUGGGGAUCAAACAGGAUUAGAAACCCCGGUAGUCC